CACAUGCGUCAGCCGGCGGGCUGCGUGAUGACGCAGACGGGAGCGUGAGCGGUUGCUGCUAUGGGUCUCGGUGGUGGUGAGGCUGCUCCCGGGCGUCGUGGCCAUCCAGCUCCAUCGAGGGUCCCAGGCGGUGACUGCCGUCUGCGGAGGGCAGGUGGACGGCCCUCGACUGCCCCGCAGCAGAUCUCCUGUUAGAUGCACUGCAUCCGUGUAACUGAUGCGCUACCUUGUCAUGUGCCAUUGUUGGGGGGGUAUGUCAGACCCUUCCCAGUUCCUGACAGGCCCUGCCCCCAACCCCCAGCAGACUCUGCCCUGUGUACCUGCCCCAGCUUCAGCAGCAGAAAUCCCAGGAUGUGAGAGCUAGAAGAGACCUGAGAGAUGAUCUCUCCCGUGGAUGAUAGGUUCUUCUGGGGAAUCUGCAGCAGUUUGGGUGCCGUGUUGUCUGCUUCCAGAACGAGGAUCUUCGCUGUACCUCAGGACUUGGGCCCCUCUGACAUCACCUGAAUGAGAAACAAGGGAUAUUUAAUAAAACAGUUUCAACUUUG